UACGUAGGGGGCAAGCGUUGUCCGGAUUUAUUGGGCGUAAAGAGCGUGUAGGCGGCCAGACAAGUCUGCUGUGAAAACUCGAGGCUCAACCUCGAGCUGUCGGUGGAAACUGUCUGGCUAGAGUCCGGAAGAGGAGAGUGGGAUUCCUGGUGUAGCGGUGAAAUGCGCAGAUAUCAGGAAGAACACCUAUGGCGAAGGCGGCUCUCUGGAACGCAACUGACGCUGAGACGCGAAAGCGUGGGGAGCAAACAGG
rnacentral:rRNA from 1 species